rnacentral:rRNA from 1 species
UACGUAGGGUCCGAGCGUUGUCCGGAAUUACUGGGCGUAAAGAGCUCGUAGGUGGUUUGUCGCGUUGUUCGUGAAAACUCACAGCUUAACUGUGGGCGUGCGGGCGAUACGGGCAGACUUGAGUACUGCAGGGGAGACUGGAAUUCCUGGUGUAGCGGUGAAAUGCGUAGAUAUCAUUUGGAACGCCAAUGGUGAAAACAGGUAGCUGGGGCUGUGCUGACGCUGAGACACGAAAGCCAGGGGAGCAAACGGG